rnacentral:rRNA from 1 species
UAGUGGCGAACGGGUGAGUAACACGUGAGUAACCUGCCUUCCACUCUGGGAUAAGCGCUGGAAACGGCGUCUAAUACUGGAUAUGACAUGACCCUGCAUGGGGUGGUGUGGAAAGAUUUAGUUCGGUGGUAGAUGGACUCGCGGCCUAUCAGCUUGUUGGUGGGGUAAUGGCCUACCAAGGCGACGACGGGUAGCCGGCCUGAGAGGGUGACCGGCCACACUGGGACUGAGACACGGCCCAGACUCCUACGGGAGGCAGCAGUGGGGAAUAUUGCACAAUGGGCGAAAGCCUGAUGCAGCGACGCCGCGUGAGGGAUGACGGCCUUCGGGUUGUAAACCUCUUUCAGCCUUGACGAAGCCCCUUUUGGGGGUGACGGUAGGGGCAGAAGAAGCACCGGCUAACUACGUGCCAGCAGCCGCGGUAAUACGUAGGGNGCGAGCGUUGUCCGGAAUUAUNGGGCGUAAAGAGCUUGUAGGCGGCUUGUCGCGUCUGCUGUGAAAGCCCGGGGCUUAACCCCGGGUCUGCAGUGGGUACGGGCAGGCUAGAGUGUGGUAGGGGAGACUGGAAUUCCUGGUGUAGCGGUGGAAUGCGCA